rnacentral:rRNA from 1 species
CCCCUAGAUGUUCUGGGCCGCACGCGCGCUACACUGAACAGUUCAACAAGUCUUAACCUUGGCCGAUAGGUCUGGGUAAUCUUUGAACGCUGUUCGUGAUUGGGAUAGACCUUUGCAAUUAUGGAUCUUCAACGAGGAAUUCCUAGUAAACGCAAGUCAUCAGCUUGCAUUGAUUACGUCCCUGCCCUUUGUACACACCGCCCGUCGCACCUACCGAUUGAAUGGUCCGGUGAAAUCUCGGGACGGCGGCUUGGUCGCUUGCGUCCGACUGCUGAAACUUGAUUAAACCAUAUCAUUUAGAGGAAGGUGAAGUCGUAACA